rnacentral:rRNA from 1 species
GACGAACGCUGGCGGCGUGCUUAACACAUGCAAGUCGAACGGUGAAGCGCCUUCCUUUUUGGUGGGUGUGGAUGAGUGGCGAACGGGUGAGUAACACGUGAGUAACCUGCCCCCUCCUUCUGGAUAACCGCAUGAAAGUGUGGCUAAUACGGGAUAUUCUGGGUCUGUCGCAUGAUGGGUCUGGGAAAGAUAUUGUUUCGGUGGGGGAUGGGCUCGCGGCCUAUCAGCUUGUUGGUGGGGUGAUGGCCUACCAAGGCGGUGACGGGUAGCCGGCCUGAGAGGGUGGACGGUCACACUGGGGCUGAGACACGGCCCAGACUCCUACGGGAGGCAGCAGUGGGGAAUAUUGCACAAUGGGCGCAAGCCUGAUGCAGCGACGCCGCGUGAGGGAUGGAGGCCUUCGGGUUGUGAACCUCUUUCGCCAGUGAAGCAGGCCUGCCUCGUUUGUGGGUGGGUUGACGGUAGCUGGAUAAGAAGCGCCGGCUAACUACGUG